rnacentral:rRNA from 1 species
AACGAACGCUGGCGGCAGGCUUAACACAUGCAAGUCGAGCGCCCCGCGAGGGGAGCGGCAGACGGGUGAGUAACGCGUGGGAAUCUACCUUUUGCUACGGAAUAACCCAGGGAAACUUGGACUAAUACCGUAUGAGCCCUUUGGGGGAAAGAUUUAUCGGCAAGAGAUGAGCCCGCGUCCGAUUAGCUAGUUGGUGGGGUAAAGGCCUACCAAGGCGACGAUCGGUAGCUGGUCUGAGAGGAUGAUCAGCCACACUGGGACUGAGACACGGCCCAGACUCCUACGGGAGGCAGCAGUGGGGAAUAUUGGACAAUGGGGGCAACCCUGAACCAGCCAUGCCGCGUGAGUGAUGAAGGCCCUAGGGUUGUAAAGCUCUUUCACCGGUGAAGAUAAUGACGGUAACCGGAGAAGAAGCCCCGGCUAACUUCGUGCCAGCAGCCGCCGUAAAAC